rnacentral:lncRNA from 1 species
AUGAAUUCCAGAAUAUGUUUCAGUUGCUGUUGGCUGGAGGAAAUCACCUCCCUCCUAGGAAAGCACCAAGGAUGUGGUGUGGGGCAGAGCAGGCUGAACUCCACAAAGGGAAGGGAAACCCCAUAACACCAUUUGUCUGGGUAGACUUUUGAAGGACUUCAGGCACUGCUGUUCCUUCCCUGAAUUGCUGAGAAAAUGCCUAAGACAGCAGGAAGCUGAAGAAAGGGCACAAGUGGGACAGAUAGAAACAUACCCAAAUGAUAAAGAAGUUUUAUACAAUUUAGUGCCCAGCCCUCUCUCUGCCAGGUACCGGGAACCCGACUCCUCCUCUGCAAGGAACUCCCAGUCCAGCAGCGUCUCUUCUCUCACAGUGGUGAUGUCAUCCUUUCAGAUGAGAGUCAGGACCCUCAAG